GAUGAACGCUAGCGGCAGGCUUAAUACAUGCAAGUCGAGGGGCAGCACGAAUAGCAAUAUUUGGUGGCGACCGGCGCACGGGUGCGUAACACGUAUACAACCUACCUAUAACAGGGGGAUAGCCUUUCGAAAGAGAGAUUAAUACCCCGUAAUAAAUUGAGUGGCAUCACUUGAUUUUGAAAGCUACGGCGGUUAUAGAUGGGUAUGCGUCUGAUUAGCUAGUUGGUGAGGUAACGGCUCACCAAGGCGACGAUCAGUAGGGGAUCUGAGAGGACUAACCCCACACUGGUACUGAGACACGGACCAGACUCCUACGGGAGGCAGCAGUAAGGAAUAUUGGUCAAUGGAAGGCAACUCUGAACCAGCCAUGCCGCGUGCAGGAUGACGGCCCUAUGGGUUGUAAACUGCUUUUGUACCAGAGAAAACCUACUCACGUGUGAGUAGCUGAUAGUAUGGUAAGAAUAAGCAUCGGCUAACUUCGUGCCAGCC
rnacentral:rRNA from 1 species